UACGGAGGGUGCAAGCGUUAUCCGGAUUCACUGGGUUUAAAGGGUGCGUAGGUGGGCAGGUAAGUCAGUGGUGAAAUCUCUGGGCUUAACCCGGAAACUGCCGUUGAUACUAUCUGUCUUGAAUAUAGUGGAGGUGAGCGGAAUAUGUCAUGUAGCGGUGAAAUGCUUAGAUAUGACAUAGAACACCGAUUGCGAAGGCAGCUUACUACACGAUCAUUGACACUGAGGCACGAAAGCGUGGGGAUCAAACAGG
rnacentral:rRNA from 1 species